GACUCGGUGGCUCAGUUGGUAGGGCAGUGGGACGGAACCCCUAAGGCGUGAGUUCGAGCCUCACUUGGGUUC